CAGCCUGGCUGCUGUCCUCACAGCUGACACUACCCAGCAGCCACACCCCACCUGGAGUAUAUUGAAUGGGAUCUUGCCGUACGUACCUGAGUGUAUUCCUUCUGCUUAUAAAAACAAUCUAACUGUAAACAGCCAAAGGCGGGUUCUUCAGGAGGUGUCCUCCUAGGAGCUGGCAGCUCCAUGCCUGUCGUUGACCCUUGACGGCCUUCCAGAGGGACAAGAGGAGGAGGCGAAAGACAGUGACGUGUGUGAUCCUGACUCUGUGUAGGCUGAGGCUAAGCUCUGCAGUGAGAGUGGAGUCAGCGUUUCUUCUUGCUAUUGAGCUUCGGGAUAGGCAUCUAUCACUUGCGCUCACACAGUUCCUUCCGUUGAACAUCUGCAAGGUGACACAGAUUUGAGGGACCGUCACACUUGAUUAGAGCCCACUUGGGUGCUCCUGGAACCUGGAACAGACAAACUCCAAGAGGAGAUUGAAGAUUUUCCGCAUCCUGGGACUCCAGGCCGAAUCACUUUGUGUGGCCUCGGAGGGAACACCUAUCCAAUGCUGCCAAGAAAUAAACCUUUCAGGGAAAAGGGAGUUUGAUUGUAAUUCAGUCGCAAUUUAUUCUGUUGUAUUUUGGCCAUUUCAUUUGCUUGACAGACUCUUAUUCAAUGGCCAUGCGUAAGCCACUCGUGUUCUAAAGACCAGUGGGCAGGGACAGGCGGAUAAGAAACGAGAACAUUUCUGUCUACGAAGGUCCAAGGUGUUGUGGGGUGUGGAGGAAGGGCUUCCUCAUUCCACUCAGACAUGUCGAGAAGGCAAUAGUUGAGGCAACAGCUGGAGGACAUGGAGGCAGGCAAGGGACGUUCUAGACAAGGAAAGCAGCGUGUUACUUUCACCAGGUAGCUCAUGGAAGAACAGUCUGAAGUGACAUCAUCAAUUCCACACCUGUCCGUAAAAAGCCUGAGUGAUAGACCUGUGAGAUGAACCAGGGGUCCUGAGCUAACCAGAAGGUCAGUGCAGGGAAGGCACGUGCUCUAGAGGCAUGAGGCUGUGAGUGGGUGCCAUUGGAUGUGGGUCUCCCUAGAGUCAGGAAGUGUGAACUAACACCUCCCAGCCUCCUUACUUGGGAAACCAAGUGACCAGUGGUCAGAGGAUGAGGUGCCGUUGGGAGAGGCUUUGGGAACUGUGGUUUUGGGAGUCACUGAUGACCAAAGGCAUUGGGAAUGGAGAUGAUUGCUCAGAGUCCGUAAAGUGAGCAGGGAGGCCUCAGACUGUUCUUGGAACACCAGGAUGGAUGAGACAGACACAAGAAGAUGAGUCCUGAAAGGCCACCAGGAAGGCUGGCCAGACACAGAGGAGCAGGGGAAGAAUUGUAGCCCAGAAGCCACGUGGUAAAUUAGCCCAGUGAUACAAUAUGACCAACCAAGAUGGCAAAAUGACAGUGGAAUAACCCAACCGAUGUCUGAAAACAUAAUGGACUCUGCUCCUGGGUGUGUUUAUUCCUAUUAUUUCACUUUAAUACAGUGAUCUCAAGUUCAUAAAAUGAUUUCAUACAAAUGGUCUCUCUCAUCUGAGUAUUCAA
rnacentral:lncRNA from 1 species